UGAGGGAUAUUGCACAAUGGGGGAAACCCUGAUGCAGCGAUGCCGCGUGGAGGAAGAAUGUCUUCGGAUUGUAAACUCCUUUUAUCAGGGACGAUAAUGACGGUACCUGAAGAAAAAGCUCCGGCUAACUACGUGCCAGCAGCCGCGGUAAUACGUAGGGAGCGAGCGUUGUCCGGAAUUACUGGGUGUAAAGGGAGCGCAGGCGGGACUGCAAGUCAGAUGUGAAAGGUACGGGCUCAACCUGUAACGUGCAUUUGAAACUGUGGUUCUUGAGUGAAGUAGAGGUAAGCGGAAUUCCUAGUGUAGCGGUGAAAUGCGUAGAUAUUAGGAGGAACAUCGGUGGCGAAGGCGGCUUACUGGGCUUUUACUGACGCUGAGGCUCGAAAGCGUGGGGAGCAAACAGG
rnacentral:rRNA from 1 species